rnacentral:piRNA from 1 species
GNGCUGAGGACCUGCACAGGGCCUGGAGC